UCACAAUGAUGUCAUAAUCCUGUGGCUAAAAACCAAGGUAAACAUUAAGAAUAACCAAUGAAGUUCUGGAAGCCUCAGACUCCUUCCCAGUAUUACAUCUGCAACAGUUCUUACACAUUCCCUGUGCUGCAGCAAAACUGCUCUUCUCAAAGACCAAGCUUCAGUGUCCCCCCUUUUUGCUGUAGAGGAAGGGCUGCGUCACUCUGUGUUUUAGCCCUGCCUUCAAAGCCUCCUGCACUGAUCAUCUUCACAACGCUAUUCCCGGUUAUGCGACAUCGACAAUCAGAAGCUUACCUUUCCCUGAAGAUCUAUAGCAUUAAGCUCUUGCUUCAAGAAUAGGGUGAGAACACCAGGGUGACAGAUGUCAAGGCAGCUGGCUGCAGAGCCACUUGGAAUACCAACUGCGUAGUGUCAUUCCAUUUUUGGAGUUGAGCAUUGCUGUUCUAUUGGGACAGCCUUCUGGAUGAUGAGAUACACACCUAGUCCAGUCACUUAGUCCCUGUCAACUGUCAACCAUUGCCAGACAUGUGAAUACGACCCCCGCUGGAUCAGACAUCCUCAGAUGGAUCUGCCUAUUGACUGCAGGCGCCUGGCUGACCCCAGCUGUUAUCAGCCUAGCACACAUCAGCAGAACUACCAAGUUAACUCAUAAAUGCUUGUGGUUUUAAAGCACUGGGUUUUGAAACAGUGACACAGCAUUUGCUAGCUGAUUAAAGAAUUUUAA